AAUGAAUACAGGAAUCUAGGCUAGAUAUACACACUUCUUUUUUUUUUCUUUUUGUUAUAUACUUUUAUUGUUUCAGUUGGUUCUAGUUUCAUGUAGUUUAUAGCUUUUAUUUAAUUUGUUUAUAUGUCCUUUUGCUACCAUGGCAACGAUGAGUGGAAUAUGGGCGGAUCCAAGGGAUGCACAACCCGCGGUUUUCGCCACAAAGGCGCACAAAAGAUUUGUGCCCAUUGACGAAGACAAGCUCUUUAGAACCGAGAAACAUUUCUGCAAGACCUUGAUUGAAGCCGAUCAAAUAAGAAAAGUGCAAGCUAUGGAAAAAAAACGACUUCCUAAGACAGCUAACGCCGACCUCUUGUUGACUGAUGAGUUAAAGCAACUCAAGCGUCAGGAAUUCCUCGAUCGCAAGCGCCGUCAACAGCUUCGCAAUGACUGCGAGGAGCUGCGGCAAUUGGCUGAGCAGCUGCGAUUGGCAGCGAUCACCAAGGAUCUCGAGGAGCAUAUGAGGGAAGUAAAUAGAAGUCGACAGCUCGCAAAUCAUGUGAAACUGCAGGGCUUACAGCGUGCCGAGGCUGAAAGGCAACAGCAGUUGGCCAUGGAGCAGGAGAAAGAGCUGCGCAAAAAGGAGCAACAGGAGGAACUGCGCAAGACACUUAUAUCCCAAGUAGAAGAGCGGCAGAAAUGUCGUCAGAGCGAAUACGUACAGACGCUGGCGGAGCGGGAGGUCCGCAUGGCCAUUCAGCAGCAAAUCGAAGAAGAAGACAGAGAGCUUCAGUUGGAGCUACAGCGCCUAAAGAUCAAGAAGCGAGAUGACAUCAUUCAGUUUAUAGAGGAAAAACGAGAAUAUGAGGCUCUGCAAAAGGUAAAGCUCAACGAGGAUAAUUUAAAAGCAUUUGAGAUACAACUGGAGGAUGCUAAGCACAGAGAGGAAAUGGAGAAGGCCAGACUUGAAGCGAUACGCAAGCAACAGGAGAUUAGUUCGCGAAUAGGUCAGCAGGUGCUUGAAGUGGAGAACAGAAAGCGGCAACGCGACAAUGUCUUGCUGGAUCUGCUGCAGGCAGAGUACAAAGCAAAGGGCGAUGAACGCUACCGGCAGCAGCUCCAGCAGGAACAGCUCGAACGCCAGCGUGCCCGUCAAGAACUAGAACGCUAUCGUGCUGAAGCCUAUGAGCGGCAUUUAGAAGCAGUGCGCAAGAAGAAGGAACAAGCUGUUGACAAAGAUUCUUUCAGCAUCGACAUCCACGCAUGCGGCGAUAACGAAAUGCUGAUACGCCAACAGCGGAAGGAGCAUGGUGCUCUGCUUCUGUCGAUGAUUGAGGAGAAUAAUCGCAAGCGUGCCGAAGCAGCUGCGGAAAAUAUUCAAUUUUUCAAUUUGAAGGCGAAGUCAGACGCCGAGCGCCAGUCGCGUAUUGAAGAGGAGCGCCUGAGAAUGUUGAGUUCUGUGCCGACUGAGGUUCUGAAAUAUUUACCAAAGCAAGUCCUUUCGGAAUCGGACCGAAAAUAUUUCAACGUGCAAAAACAAUAAGAGUUGAUGCAUCAGUGUAAUUGAAUCCGAAUAUUAGCCAUCACUCAUUGGCGCAAGCAAAAUCCUUAGUUGGCAUUUUAAAUGAAGACGCCCAACCCGCCCACAUUGCGUACGUGACGUGUCUCAUACAUUGCUGAGAGUUGCCAUAUUUCUUUGAAACAUUGAUAAAAUACUUAAGGCUGAUAUGCUAAUCACAGUUUCAUAAAAAACAUAUUUGGAACUCACAGUUUCAGAGCGCACUUUGGAGAUUUUUAUUAAAUAAAUUAAAAAUACACAUGAGAA